CAAUAGCGUAUAUUUAAGUUGUUGCAGUUAAAAAGCUCGUAGACGGAUUUUGGCUGAGAACGAUCGGUCCGCCGUUAGGUGUGCACUGAUUGGUCUCAGCUUCCUGGUGAGGAGGUGUGCUUCACGGCCACUUAGUCACCGUGGUUACUUUGAAAAAAUUAGAGUGUUCAAAGCGGGCUUACGCUUGAAUAUAUUAGCAUGGAAUAACACCAUAGGACUCCUGUCCUAUUUCGUUGGUCUCGGGACGGGAGUAAUGAUUAAGAGGAACAGUUGGGGGCAUUCGUAUUUCAUUGUCAGAGGUGAAAUUCUUGGAUUUAUGAAAGACGAACUUCUGCGAAAGCAUUUGCCAAGGAUGUUUUCAUUGA
rnacentral:rRNA from 1 species